UUAUAAAACUUCAAACUCAGAGCUCACAAUGUACACAAAAGUUUUGAAAGAAAAAUGUAAAUGUAGACCUUUAGCUCCUUACCAACUGUCGAUAUUCAAGUGUUCUAGUGCCCAUGAUUUGCAACCUUUUCUUGUUUUUUUCUCCUGAUAAGAUCAGGCAAAGGAGAAGGAUUUCCAAAUAGCCUGAUAGUGUAUCAGUGUUUCAAAAAGUUAAAGCCCCAAGACUUACCAGGGAACUUUAAUUCUCAUAAAAAGAAAAUAAACCUUAUAUUAACCUUUACAUGUAAACUCAAAAUGGUGCACUCCCUGAAAGUAUUCCUCUUGUUGGAUAUUUACGAGAUAACUUUGCAAAUAGAAAACUGCAGACUGUCUUUGCUGCAGAUAUUAAGGAGUUAAUAAAUUAGACAGCCAACAAGCAGGAAUCGGGAAAAGCCACAGAACUUAGAAUUGAACAGCUGACAGCAGAUUCUGCAGGUGCAAGAUGGGAAUCAGCUCUGCAUUUUCUAUGUAGCACAGUUUUCUCUGCCUGGCCUGUGGCCUGAUUUCCUGGCCUCUUUGGGAUAAGCUGAAUUAUAAGACAGAGAAUUCCAGAAGAUCUAGCUCUGUGAUCCUAUGAACUCUAGCGCUCCAAAAGGAAGCAAUCUCCUUCUAUGUUUAGACUGACAAUAUUACAUAUUGGUGUCAGCCUUGUAAGAUUUUGGUUUCACGUUAGGAAAGAAAAAUGCUCUAAAUGCCAUCCUACUUAAAGAAAAAAUGGUUGAUUAAACUGCACUGCAUAACAAAUUAGCCUCCUGCAAUUGGGUGUCUAGGAAUGUGUAGUGUGUGUGUGUGUGUGUGUGUGUGUGUGUGUGUGUGUGUGUGUGUGUUGUGUAUGUUAAAGGGAAUCACUACUUAUUAAAUAUAUAAGUACCACAGUGAAUAUUAAGGUCAUAAUAGGGUAUGGGAAAGGAGAGAAAUGGGCUGCAUUCAAGUGCAUAUUUCUAAUCAACUACUUUUUUGUAUUCUUCUAUAGUGAUUUACAACUAGAUUUAGGGAGAAAAAAACAAAACUCAACAAAUAUUCACUUAAAAGUUAAUGAGUAUUUGCUAUGGAGAAGGCAUUUUGUUGAGUGAUACAGAGGAUACAAAAAUGACCAAGAUCUGCAACCCCCCUCUUUCAAAAGCUUAUGGCAUAAGGCUAGUAACUUAGAAGAAAAAGCACAUUGUUAUCAGUCAUCAGUAUAUUUUGGUGAAUCCAUCUAUUAGCCAAUUUGUUUCAGACUUUGAAAAGCUGAAGGAUGGGGCAAGCCUAGGAUACUACCUAGGAAAGAUCAGCCUGGAUUAAGACACUUAAUGAAAGAAGAUGAGGGAAGUGGGCACAAGCCGGGGGAGGCGAUAGCACAAAAGAGGGUAGAAGAUGAGAGCACGCUGACUGCAAACUGUGUGUGUUUCAGAGGGUGGAUUUCCUAGCUCUGACUUCUAGCAAAUAAUUUUCAAAAUGUAAAGUGGACCUUAACAAAGUACUAUUCUUAUCAAUCCAAGAGUGCCAAGCAAUCAAGGAGAGAGAUUUACAGACAAUGUACUUUCAAAUUCACAAUGCAAACUCUAAAGUAAUAUGCAUUUUCUUAUAAGCUUAACUUUAGUAAAGAAUGAUUUUUGAAGUUCACUCAAAUAUCGAAUAUUUGCAGAUAUCCUUAUUUCAUUACUUUGCUCCAAAUAUUUAAAACCAGAUGAAAAAAAGUAAUGUCCUUAAGGAGUCAAAUUCAUUAUUAAAAUAAGAUAUUUUCCAAGUUGUUUGGAAAAUGGUUUACUUUCUUUUUUCCCCCUUUACUAGACCUCAAAAUACAUUGAGUUUUCCUCACUGGUAAAGAAAUACAACAUUGAGAAGUAUCAAGUGAAUCCACUUGAACAGGCUUCAAAACCAUACCACUAACGUAUUAUUUUAAAAUGUUUCUCUAAGACGCAUUUAUUACAAGGGAACACUGUUUAGGAAGCAUUAACACUCACAGUCCCUAAAUUUUAAAUUGGUCCCUAAUAUUCCAUUUGGUAAUCAAUAUCCUCCUUUGCUCCUCCCCCACCCUCUCAGAUGGCCUUAUUCUCUGUCAGUAUCUAUCACAUUUUCUUUUUUCUUUUUUU
rnacentral:lncRNA from 1 species